AUUAAAAAUUUAUUAUUAAAUGUUUAUUUUUUUUUAUUUAAUAAAAAUAAUUUUAUUAAUUUGUUUUUUAAGUAUAUUUUAUAGAAAAAAUUUUGUUAAUUAUAGUUUAUUUGUAUUGUAAAAGAUAAUUGAAAUAAUAUAUUAAUUAUUUAAAAGUAAAAUUUAAUUUUUGUACCUUGUGUAUCAGGGUUUAUUAAAUAAAUAUUAAUUAUUUUAAUUUUCUCGAGUUUAAGAGAGCUAAUAAAAUAUUUUUUUUAUUGUAAAAAAACUAUUUAAAAUAUUUUAUUAGUAAUGAAAUGUUAUUCGUUCUUAAAAAUAUCUAGUUUAUUUAGAAAUGAAUUUAAUUCAAAUAUUUUAAUUUUAAUGAAUUAAUUUGUUAAUUUAUUAAAUUUUAAUAUUAAUAAUUAAAGGGAUGAGCUUUUGAUUAAAAAUUUAUAAGUUAAGUAAUAAUUUUAAAAAAUGUAAGUUUAGAAAUAUCUAUCAAUAAUAAUUUGUUAUAAUUAAUUUAAUAUUAAAAUAUUAUUUUAUAUAACUUUAAAUUUUUUAUAAAUAAAUAAUUUUUAAUUUUAUAAAAUUAGAUAUAAUGAUGAAAUUAGUAUAUAUUUGAAAUAUUUAAAUAAUAAUAUAAAAAAGAUUAUUUAAAGGAAUUCGGCAAAAAUUUUACUCGCCUGUUUAACAAAAACAUGUCUUUUUGAUAUAUAUAUAAAGUCUAGUCUGCCCACUGAAAUUUUUAAAUGGCCGCAGUAAUUUGACUGUGCAAAGGUAGCAUAAUCAUUAGUUUUUUAAUUAAAAGCUCGUAUGAAAGGCUGGACGAGGUAAAAUCUGUCUCUAUUUAAUUUAAAUUAGAAUUUAAUUUUUAAGUUAAAAAGCUUAAAUAUUAAUAAAAGACGAGAAGACCCUAUAGAGCUUUAUAAUUUGUUUAAUAUAAUUAAUUAAGAUUAAUUUAGAUUUUAUUAAUAUGAUUAUUUUAUUGGGGUAAUAGGAAGAUUAAAAAAAUUCUUUUUUUUUAUUUACAUUGAUUUAUGAAAUAAAUGAUCCAUUUUUAAUGAUUAUAAGAUUAAGUUACCUUAGGGAUAACAGCGUAAUUUUUUUAGAGAGUUCAUAUCGAUAAAAAAGGUUGCGACCUCGAUGUUGGAUUAAAGAUUAGUUUAGGUGUAGAAGUUUAAAUUUUUGGUCUGUUCGACCAUUAAAUCUUUACAUGAUCUGAGUUCAGACCGGUGUAAGCCAGGUCGGUUUCUAUCUUUAUUAAGUUAAAAUAUUUUAGUACGAAAGGACCAAAUAUUUAAUAUAUUUAUAUUUAUAUU
rnacentral:rRNA from 1 species